rnacentral:tRNA from 1 species
GCACUCAUAGCUCAAUUGGAUAGAGCAUCUGACUACGGAUCAGAAGGUUCCAGGUUCAACUCCUGGUGGGUGCACCA